AAAAUAUAAACCGGACCGGUUCGCUGCUUGCAGCGGGCUGCGAAGGGAGAUAUUAUACACCCUGUACUUGCUUACCUUUGUUGCUUUGGCGGGCCGUCCGUUUAGGCGUUGGCUCCGGCCGAUCGUGCCCGCCAGAGGACCCCUAAACUCUGAAUAUUAGUGUUGUCUGAGUACUAUAUAAUAGUUA
rnacentral:misc_RNA from 1 species